rnacentral:lncRNA from 1 species
GCGGCGCCAUUGGCGUCGUGCCCUUCUUGAAGGCGUCAUUUUUAGGGAGACAGCGCAAACAACUUUUUUCGCUUGUUGGCACGGUGUCGGAGGUUUUGUGCACGAGCAACAAAGCAAAGUCGACAUGCGGUGACAGUUUGGCGGUUUGAUGGAUACCUUGGGAAGCAGGGCAACAUUGCUCAACAUUCCGACGGCGACUAAAGAAACAGAUUCGUGAUAUGGAGUAUUGUGGCGGACGUGGCGAGGCCCCGUGCGCGGUGUGUCUUCGAAGUGACGAGAGCGAGGUGGAGUCCAACGGCGGAUGUGGCGAGGCCUCGUAUGUUGUGUUUUCAUAGCGCCGAUUGCGAGGCAGCCUACGAGAGAUCCGGAUCUGGUGGUUUCACUCUAUUGGGUGGAGUGUGGUGUUGCAGCGGCAUUACGGCGAAGG